CCCUACGGGGUGCAGCAGGCGAUGGUAUUGUAACUACUAAGAGUCAAGCGGCCAUUGGUGCAGGCACGCCCGUUGUUGCCAAUCAUAUAGUAGAAACUGAACAAACGACAAACAUCCUCAAACUUCUCGACGAUGCGCCGAAAGUUAAGCGAGUUCGGGUGUGCGAGGCGGCGAGGACGGCGGGGGCGGAUUUUUCGCGGGCGAGCACAUACAAUUGUUAUGUAAUUAUGCAGGUUGAGGAGUAUUUUUUUGGCGGAUCUGGAAAUCAAGAGCUGCCCACUGGAUGGCGUUGCGGUCAAUCUGAGCGAUUUUGUCGAGGAUAAAGGGAAAAAGACGCCGUAUAAACGCUUCGGGAAAGAUUUUCUGAAAUAUGACCGCGCACUUAUUGAUGGCGGGAGAGC
rnacentral:rRNA from 1 species